rnacentral:rRNA from 1 species
UACGUAGGGUGCGAGCGUUGUCCGGAAUUACUGGGCGUAAAGAGCUCGUAGGUGGUUUGUCGCGUUGUCCGUGAAAACUCACAACUCAAUUGUGGGCGUGCGGGCGAUACGGGCAGACUGGAGUACUGCAGGGGAGACUGGAAUUCCUGGUGUAGCGGUGGAAUGCGCAGAUAUCAGGAGGAACACCGGUGGCUAAGGCGGGUCUCUGGGCAGUAACUGACGCUGAGGAGCGAAAGCGUGGGGAGCGAACAGG